UUUUCGUUUUUUCGUGUUCAAUGUUUAACCAUUCGUCUUAUUCGUAAAAUUUAUAAAAAACUUAAAAAAACUAGUUACAUAUAAAGUAAUAUUUAUAUUUUAUCAUCUAGUAACAAUAAAAAUAUUAAUUGCAAAAAAAAUUCAAUAAGACGAAUAGUCAAACGUUGGACACGGAAAAAAAUG
rfam:Oryza brachyantha chromosome 3, whole genome shotgun sequence.